GGCUCCAGCCACCACCCACCGCGACUCGCCCCCGACCACCACCUAUCGCGACCGGCCACCGGCCACCACACACUGCGACCUGCCCCCAGCCACCACCUACCUCGCCUGCCCCGGCCACCGCCUGCCCCGCUCCACUCCGUCCGACCGACGCGCCUCCUCUCUAUCACCCAUGGUGCCACCCCUCCCCUGACCCGCUGCUAGAUGGGAUCCGGGCCAAAUCCAGGCCGCGGCGGCCCUCCCGCGACGCCCAGCCGCUUGAUCCAGGCCGCGCCGGCCCUCCCGCGGCGCGCUGCCGCCGGAUCCAGGCCGCGCCGACUCUCCAGCGCCCCCCUGCCGCCGUCUUUAGGCUGCGGGCACCCCUUCCUUCCCUCCCCAGCCGGUAACCUGCAGGACGCCCCUCCCCUGUCCCUGCAAAACUCCCUCCAGCGGGCCUCCUCUCCCUGCAAAACUCCCUCCGGCAAGGCCUAGUGCACAUCCAUCCCGGCGGCUCACGUGCAGUUCGGCCAACGAUGGCGUGUGGUACGGCGUGCGACGACAUGCAGUUCUCAACCUUCCCCACAGUACACGAGAAGAGCCCCUGAUGGUGCCAGGCUGACGGCUGGACGAGAGGAGGUGCUAUCCUUCCAUGGCGCAUCCAUGGCGGCUCACCCCCGUGUCAACGAGAUUUCUCAUUUGCUUCACUGAUUUUGUGUUUUUCUAAAGAAAAAAAAAUCAAAGUGCAAUGUAGUCCGCUGUUAUUUGCUCUUGAGAUCCAGCUUGCUUAUUUUUACAGGAAGAAAAGCGACGCAGUUCGGUUGAAUGUCGUGUUGCAUUUUUUUUGUAGUUUCCUCAUGCAGUUUGGAGCGAGCCUCCCUCUCGUGAAGUUCUUCGGCGCGUCCAUGCAGCACGGCAAGUGAGUGUGUGCAGUCCACAACACUUGGGUUGCUUUGUGGCCGUCGUGCAAUGCCCAUGCUACUCCCCCUUGGGGAGCUUUGUGUUUUUUUCAUGCAAUGUGGUUGUGUGAAUCAUGAAGUUCGUUUCUGAUUUGUGCGUGCGUAUGUUUUUUGGUGUGAGUUCCCACAGUUUGAAAAAAUAUGCAAUGCAGUGUGGAACAAAAA